rnacentral:rRNA from 1 species
GCAUAUCAAUAAGCGGAGGAAAAGAAACCAACAGGGAUUGCCCUAGUAACGGCGAGUGAAGCGGCAACAGCUCAAAUUUGAAAUCUGGCGCAAGCCCGAGUUGUAAUUUGUAGAGGAUGCUUCUGGGCAGCGGCCGGUCUAAGUUCCUUGGAACAGGACGUCACAGAGGGUGAGAAUCCCGUAUGUGACCGGCGCGCACCCUCCACGUAGCUCCUUCGACGAGUCGAGUUGUUUGGGAAUGCAGCUCUAAAUGGGAGGUAAAUUUCUUCUAAAGCUAAAUACCGGCCAGAGACCGAUAGCGCACAAGUAGAGUGAUCGAAAGAUGAAAAGCACUUUGGAAAGAGAGUUAAAAAGCACGUGAAAUUGUUGAAAGGGAAGCGCUUGCAACCAGACUCCGCGGCGGUGUUCCGCCGGUCUUCUGACCGGUCCACUCGCCGCCGCGGGGCCAACAUCGUCUGGGGCCGCCGGACAAGACUGGAGGAAUGUAGCUCCCUCGGGAGUGUUAUAGCCUUCAGUGAUGCGGCGCGUCCCGGGCGAGGUCCGCGCUUCGGCAAGGAUGUUGGCGUAAUGGUUGCCAGCGGCCCGUCUUGAAACACGGACCAAGGAGUCUAACAUCUAUGCGAGUGUUCGGGUGUCAAACCCCUACGCGUAAUGAAAGUGAACGGAGGUGGGAGCUUCGGCGCACCAUCGACCGAUCCUGAUGUCCUCGGAUGGAUUUGAGUAAGAGCAUAGCUGUUGGGACCCGAAAGAUGGUGAACUAUGCCUGAAUAGGGUGAAGCCAGAGGAAACUCUGGUGGAGGCUCGCAGCGGUUCUGACGUGCAAAUCGAUCGUCAAAUUUGGGUAUAGGGGCGAAAGACUAAUCGAACCAUCUAGUAGCUGGUUCCUGCCGA